ACGAACGCUGGCGGCGUGCCUAAUACAUGCAAGUCGAACGCUUCUUUCCUCCCGAGUGCUUGCACUCAAUUGGAAAGAGGAGUGGCGGACGGGUGAGUAACACGUGGGUAACCUACCCAUCAGAGGGGGAUAACACUUGGAAACAGGUGCUAAUACCGCAUAACAGUUUAUGCCGCAUGGCAUAAGAGUGAAAGGCGCUUUCGGGUGUCGCUGAUGGAUGGACCCGCGGUGCAUUAGCUAGUUGGUGAGGUAACGGCUCACCAAGGCCACGAUGCAUAGCCGACCUGAGAGGGUGAUCGGCCACACUGGGACUGAGACACGGCCCAGACUCCUACGGGAGGCAGCAGUAGGGAAUCUUCGGCAAUGGACGAAAGUCUGACCGAGCAACGCCACGUGAGUGAAGAAGGUUUUCGGAUCGUAAAACUCUGUUGUUAGAGAAGAACAAGGACGUUAGUAACUGAACGUCCCCUGACGGUAUCUAACCAGAAAGACACGGCUAACUACGUG
rnacentral:rRNA from 1 species